GUCCACGCCCUAAACGAUGCAUAUUUGGUGUGGGCAAUUCAUUUUGUCCGUGCCGGAGCUAACGCGUUAAAUAUGCCGCCUGGGGAGUACAGUCGCAAGGCUGAAACUCAAAGGAAUUGACGGGGGCCCCGCACAAGCGGUGGAGCAUGUGGUUUAAUUCGACGCAACGCGAAGAACCUUACCUGGGCUCGAAAUGCUAUGGACAGUCUGUGAAAGCAGAUCUUCCCGCAAGGGACCGUAGUAUAGGUGCUGCAUGGCUGUCGU
rnacentral:rRNA from 1 species